UAAUUUAUUGUUUACCAUCAAUACUUUUUUUCAAUUUAUCAGUGAGUUUAACCUUACAAAUCAAAUAAAAGACAACAUACAUAAAGCCACACAAUGUCAGUACCACAGAGAUCUACAAGACUAUGUUAGAACUACAGCCAUGAGAUCACUGGAACAUGAACGAUAUUACCACUACUGAUGGACUACUGAUUGUUGCGGCACUUAUGCUUGGUAUGCUAGGCGCCUGCUGCCUUCUCUCCUGCUGCCUGUGCAGUGAUACGCCAGAAGAAAGGGUUGAUUCUACGCAUGCUAAAACCGUCUUCUCAAAGAUAAGCUCCUGGCGUAUGGUGGACUCCACCAGAACUGAAACCACGCUGCCGACGUCCACCUCAGCGGCGGACACCAAGACUUCCCUCAGCGAGGACACGAAGCCGACCUCUGUCGAUUCGGACACUGACGAUGACUAAAGAUAGGAGAAGAUUACGGCGACAGCACAUCAACUUUAGUUAACUGGACAGAGCCAAGAAAAGGUUUUAGGACUUCGUACAGAUCUGUGCCACUUCCUGAAGCUUGUGUCACUAGAGCCCCUACUACCAGAGCCCCUACUACUAUUUGAAAUGUUAAAAUACAUAAAGAAUUCAAGUGGUCAAAUUCUGAUAAAGUUAUGGACCUAAUUACCAUUUUAAACAAAAUGCUGCUAGAAUGGGCGUCUCAAGAAUAUUGAUCUAUGAUUCUGCCUGACAUUUUAUAUUAAAUACUAUACGAAAUCCUC
rnacentral:sRNA from 1 species